AUUGAACGCUGGCGGCAGGCCUAACACAUGCAAGUCGAGCGGAUGAAGGGAGCUUGCUCCUGGAUUCAGCGGCGGACGGGUGAGUAAUGCCUAGGAAUCUGCCUGGUAGUGGGGGAUAACGUCCGGAAACGGGCGCUAAUACCGCAUACGUCCUGAGGGAGAAAGUGGGGGAUCUUCGGACCUCACGCUAUCAGAUGAGCCUAGGUCGGAUUAGCUAGUUGGUGGGGUAAAGGUCUACCAAGGCGACGAUCCGUAACUGGUCUGAGAGGAUGAUCAGUCACACUGGAACUGAGACACGGUCCAGACUCCUACGGGAGGCAGCAGUGGGGAAUAUUGGACAAUGGGCGAAGGCCUGAUCCAGCCAUGCCGCGUGUGUGAAGAAGGUCUUCGGAUUGUAAAGCACUUUAAGUUGGGAGGAAGGGCAGUAAGUUAAUACCUUGCUGUUUUGACGUUACCAACAGAAUAAGCACCGGCUAACUUCGUG
rnacentral:rRNA from 1 species